AUACGGAGGAUCCGAGCGUUAUCCGGAUUUAUUGGGUUUAAAGGGUGCGCAGGCGGCCAUUUAAGUCAGCGGUUAAAUCGUGGGGCUCAACCCCAUUCUGCCGUUGAUACUGGGUGGCUUGAUUGCGGUCGAGGUUGGCGGAAUUCGUUGUGUAGCGGUGAAAUGCAUAGAUAUGACGAAGAACACCGAUUGCGUAGGCAGCUGACCAGACCGCAAAUGACGCUCAUGCACUAAAGUGCGAGGAUCGAACAGGAUUAGAUACCCUGGUAGUCCGCACAGUAAACGAUGAAUACUUGUUUUCGGCGAUAUAAUGUCGGAGGCAAAGCGAAAGCGAUAAGUAUUCCACCUGGGGAGUACGCCGGCAACGGUGAAACUCAAAGGAAUUGACGGGG
rnacentral:rRNA from 1 species